UACGAAGGGGGCUAGCGUUGCUCGGAAUCACUGGGCGUAAAGCGCACGUAGGCGGACUCUUAAGUCGGUGGUGAAAUCCUGGAGCUCAACUCCAGAACUGCCUUCGAUACUGGGAGUCUUGAGUCCGGGAGAGGUGAGUGAAACUGCGAGUGUAGAGGUGAAAUUCGUAGAUAUUCGCAAGAACACCAGUGGCGAAGGCGGCUCACUGGCCCGGUACUGACGCUGAGGGUAGCGAAAGCGUGGGGAGCA
rnacentral:rRNA from 1 species